rnacentral:rRNA from 1 species
CCUACGGGAGGCAGCAGUGGGGAAUUUUGGACAAUGGGCGCAAGCCUGAUCCAGCAAUGCCGCGUGAGUGAAGAAGGCCUUCGGGUUGUAAAGCUCUUUCGUCAGGGAAGAAAAGGGAUUGGCUAAUAUCUGGUCCUCAUGACGGUACCUGAAGAAUAAGCACCGGCUAACUACGUGCCAGCAGCCGCGGUAAUACGUAGGGUGCAAGCGUUAAUCGGAAUUACUGGGCGUAAAGCGUGCGCAGGCGGUUUUGUAAGACUGUCAUGAAAUCCCCGGGCUUAACCUGGGAAUGGCGAUGGUGACUGCAAGGCUAGAGUUUGGCAGAGGGGGGUAGAAUUCCACGUGUAGCAGUGAAAUGCGUAGAUAUGUGGAGGAACACCGAUGGCGAAGGCAGCCCCCUGGGUCAAAACUGACGCUCAUGCACGAAAGCGUGGGGAGCAAACAGGAUUAGAUACCCUGGUAGUCCACGCCCUAAACGAUGUCUACUAGUUGUCGGGUCUUAAUUGACUUGGUAACGCAGCUAACGCGUGAAGUAGACCGCCUGGGGGAGGACGGUCGUCGAGAGUUAAACGUAACGAAAGAAGUAGAGGCGNGAGACGNGCGACGGACGACGACGAGGGAGGAGG